CACCUCUGGUUGGUCCGAUCGAAAGGCGGGGAUAACAAGUCUGAGAGGGUCUGAACCAGGAAAGUUGCCUCAUUCUACAGAAAGACUGCAAAGGGUCUGAACCAGAAAAGUUGCCUCAUUCUACAAAAAGACUGCAAAGGCGGUGAUAACAAGUCUGAGAGGGUCUGAACCAGGAAAGUUGCCGCAUUCUACACAAAGACUGCAAAGGGUCUGAACCAGAAAAGUUGCCUCAUUCUACAAAAAGACUGCAAAGGUGCCACCAGAUGCUCUUUGGCUGCAGUUUGGAAGAGGUGCCCUCAGACUGCACAGAACACGGGACACCCUGGCGAUGGAGAUGUUCUAACACAGCCAGAGAAUGAGACUGUCACCCCCCAACUCACUCUGACUUCUGCUCUAGGGGACAGCUACACUGGUGACUCUACAUAUGUGUAUGCUCAGGCUUGUGCUAUAACCUCCUACUGUCCACACUUAAACUCCAGCAGCACCUGUCUCAAGGCAGGCAGAGGGUGAAGGAGCUAGCAAGCCUCAGGGCCAUGGGUAAGCACGUGCCUUAUCUGUGACAUGGGGCCAGACCCAGGGGCCAGUUUGCAGUAUGAAGAGGGGGAAUGUGCCAGCUCUUAAGAUUCAUUAGUCCUCCACCCUCAUUCCCACAAUGACCCUUUUCUUCCUGACCGUUCCCAGUCUAGGUCCCUGCCCCCUGAGCACUGGUGUUAGUGUGUGGCCCUGACUGGCCACAGAAGGCAGUCUGGCUUUCCACUGCUCGCCUUAGAGGUGAAAAUGGAUCCUGCACUGAGAGCAGCAGCUUGGCCCACCAAGCAAACCCGGAUGCUGAUCAAUGCGUGGGUGCAGUACACUGUGUGCCACGAAUUUUCCCAGAGCACCAAGAACAUUUCCCUGUAUCCAGAAAUUUCACAGAGGAUGGAGCAGGAGGCAAUCAGCAAAUUCCAUCCCUAUGCUGUGAAUGCAUGAAGCACUUGAGGCUCCUGUACAGGCUGCCAAAGACUUAAGCAGUUCUUCCAGGAGGGCUCGUCGUACAUACCCCUUCUACAAGAAGCUGGACCAGGUGCUGUCUAGGGCUCACGAUCCCCUGCUCAACCAUGCUGGCCUCAUUCUCCAAGAGGCAGGGACGGCUCUAGCAUUUCAGCUGCCCCAAGCAUGCAGGCAGGCUGCCUUCAGCAGCUUGCCUGUGGGAGGUCCCAGGUCACGCAGAUCUGGUGGCAUGCAGCCGGUGGUCCGCCGGUCAUGCAGCUUCGGAAUCCGCAGAACUGGUGGACCUCCCACAGGCAUGCCACUGAAGGUUGCCUGACUGUUGCCCUCGCGGGGACCGGCAGGGUGCCCCCAGUGGCUUGCCGCCCCAGUCGCAUGCUUGGAGCACUGGUGCCUGGAGCUGGCCCUGCCAAGAGGACACUGAUGGGGGCCAGCGUGAGAAGGCAGCAGAGACUGUGGAGGACACCCCAGAGGAUGAGGAGAAUGUGAUUCUACACCUGUACCUGCAGGAGCAGGUUGAAGAAGCCCCCCCAUGACGAACUGAGGAAGACCUCCCGAGCUGUGUCAGGAACCAGAAUCUGAGGCUUGUCAGCUGCAAUGCCUCAUCAUUAAUAUCCCUUCUUGCUCUGGUGCUUCAAUCUCAGUUUUAAGAUCCAGGGCAUUUAAAAUACUGUGCGCUGACUUUUUCUCCUUGUUGCAGCAAAAACUCCAGCUGGUUUUUCAGGGUCACCGGCAGUGCAAAUCUGCUUCCUCCACCUUCAUAGAUGACCAAAUCCCUCCAUUCAGCAGUAUGUGAUCCACUGGGCCUUGCAGGACGAUUGACUAGUAACCUUUUCAGUUCACUGACUCGCCUGCCCAAUGCAGGGGACAAAGUAUUGGGCUAUGGGUGCCAUCGAUGGCCCUGCACAGUUUGGAAACCCCAUUAACUGAAAACCAACUAGAAGUGCUGGAACUUUUCUUAGGACACCCACCUGUGGGUACAUUAGUGUUCACUGCCCCACAAACCUGCACGGCCGCAACCCUGACAGUGGAUGGGUCAACUGCAAAGUGGUUUACAAUGGACCUAUAGCUGUCUGGUGUAGCCUGCAUCCACAGGGCAACAGCCAUCCACUUCUGAACUGGUGCAUCUUCCCUGAAUCAAGUGUUCUGGUGCUGGAGAGUUGGCUCAAGCUCUGCACAGAGCUCCAUGUAGGUCUAUUGCCUCAUUCGGCACAAAAUUUAGAUCCUACCAUAUGGUGCUGGUUCUUCAUCAGAUGUGACAGUCACUAGAAGGAUGCACUGUGACAAUCUGGACAUUCACAUAACUAUACUGUGUGAGCAGAAUUGACUUGUCAGUGCCCCACAGGGUCAGUCAUCUUCGAUGUGUCAGAAAAUGCUGCCCAAAUUCCAUCCAGCAGCUUGCUGAGCACCCACUUCACUGCAUAACGAUUUAUCCCUCAGUAAGGAACGAGAGACGAACCAGAUCAUCCAAUUGCUCAAUGUCUUCUACCCAGUUCUGUAGGAAUAACAAUCAGAGAGUGACAUGAUCAAGAACUGCCACAGGCAAGCAUGUGAAGGCGGAGGGCAGUACCAAUAUCCCACAGCAGAGCGGUUCUUGUAGUGUCUCCCUGUGAUACACAGAGCCCUGAGAUACCACCCCUGAAAUGGCAGGGCUACUGCUGUGUACUUACAGUGGCAGUGUGGCCACUGGGUUUUGCAUGUACACAGUGUUAUACCUGUUUCCAUCAACGUACAGGUGGACGCAAAUGUGAGCAUAGUCUUAGCUUGAGGGGAAAAAGCUCUCGCCAACAUAAGCUACAAAUCAGACCAGUCGCAUUUAAAAAAAAAAAAGUACAAUGCUG